CGUGGGGAUGCUGCGACGGUCGUUAACUGUGAAAAAAACGGUCAUACGUCACUUUUUUUUUUUCCUCCUCCCCGGUGCUAGUAGGUAACUUCGAACCGUUGUAAAGCUGAGGACGACCUGUACAGCACCGAAUUCCCCGGAAAGGACGACCGAAAACAGAUGAAAUCCUUUGGAUCCAGUCGAUUCCACCCGAUCCAGGCGGGGCUCGUUUGCAAGGACUCGGGUACCGUAAUGCCGAGAGAAGCGGCGCGGAAGAUUACCGUAUUGAUGGAUGGACUGCCUGCCUGGGAUGGCCGCUGAAGGAGGGCGAAGGAAGGUCUCCACCUUGGCCCCGCCCCUUUACCGCUCGGCUGGGGCUUUCCCGUUCCAAGAAGUCUGACCUCAUCGGGGGGCUCGUCCAAUCAGGAAGCAGCAGCCGGGCCAGCAGGGGGAAUUCCAAGAGCGAUCGGCCCCCCCCCUCCUCCUCCUCUUUCGGGACCGAGAAAAAAAAAAAGACUUUUUUUUUUUCCUCCUUCUCUCUCUCUCUCUCUUUCUUUUCAUUUGUUUUAAAGAAAGAAAAGGGGAAGGUAGAAAAAGGGGGAGGAAAGUUAGGACUUUUUUUUGGAGGGAGGGGGGGCGGCUGCGGGGAAUGUGGGCUCCGCCGGGAGGAGGCAUGAAUACCUUGCUGGGACCGAGCAGGCGGCCGGAGCGAAAGCAGCCGGAGCCCGGGGAUGGAUGCUGCCUUCUUCUCUAGACUGUCGGAUGAAUCUCCAGCAGGUCACGCAAAGGCAGAAAGUUGGUUUCAAAUAAACUUCGGCUAACUCUCGGAGAAAGCUUGCCAAAGGCCCCCUGUUUGCCGCUUCUAGCUUGCCCACGAUGCAGCCGACCAGGGAGACUUCGGGUAAGGAUUUUCAGCAUCCUGCUUUACAGUAGUCCUCGACUUAUGACCCCAAUUGAGUAACACGGUUGUUAAGUGAAUCUGGCUUCCCCAUUGAUGUUGCUCAGAAUUUCUGUUGUUCAGGGCGACAUUUGUUAAGUUUGUCUUGCCCCAUCUUACAACUUUUCUUGCCAUCAUUGCUAAGUGAAUCCCUGCAGUUGAUAAGUUAGUAACCCGGUCGUUAAAUGAAUCCAGGCUUCCCCACACACUUUGCUUGUUAUGAGGUCACCAAAGGGGAUCACAUGAUCCCAGAGACACUGCAGCCGUCAGCUGCCAAGCUUCUGAAUUUUGAUCCCACGAUCACAGCGAUACUGCAAAGGUCAUAACUAUGAAAAAUGGAUUUAAGUCACAUUUUUCAGUGCCAUUGUCACUUUGAACAGUCAGUAAAUGGAACGGCUGUAAGUCGAGGACCAUCUGUAUUCAAAUCCGGUUGAGCAAAACGAGAAGCUGAUGUGGAUGUUUGAAGACAAAAGGAAUAUAUAGCACCGCAUAGAAUAAUAUUUCUCCUUUUUUUCUUUUGCAGAUGAAUUAGGUAAGCACCUGGGGGGUUGUAGUGGGGUGUUGCCAGCGACAGGUAAGUAGAUAUUUGUCACCUAACUGAGUCAUUAUUUUAAGGUUUGAGGCUCUAAUUUUUCUCUCUGCUCUUAUUCUGCAUCUCCAUCAAAGUGCUGGCUGAGAUCCUUCAUGUACUGUAAAUAAGAAAAAAACCCAGAAUUACCAUCAUCUGACGAUGUCUUUUUUUAAAAAAAAAAUUUUUAACAGUUUAUUUUGUUAAG